UUCACUUUCAGAAGAAAUGAGUUCACAAAGCAGAAGAUCAUAUUCUUAAGAUCUCAUUCCACGUCAGUAACCUCAGCUGGGAUCUGAGUGAAACUGAAACAUGGAAGCUUUGCAGGGCUACUACCAUCAAGGAGGUAUCAGGUGCACACAAUGGAUAUGAGACAUCGAAACACAUAUCAGACUGACACUUGUGAAAAUUGAAAUCCUUGCUCUUCCACUGAAAUAUAAGUUGGGGCUUCAGGUCCAUUGAAUGGAUCAUGGAAAUCAGAGCUGCAGAGACAACGGAAAAAUGUGAAGAACAGAAGUAAGCUGGAAAUGGUUGAGACAAUGUCAGUGAAGAAUCCAACAGUGAUCUUCACUAGGAGACUGAAUUCGGCAGUAACAGGACAACAUCGAGGCUGAACUGAAGAAGAAACCUGGACUUCAGGUGAUAUUCUUUUCCCUCUGGAAUUAAUAAAGUACUUCAAAGAGAACAGAGAAAGACAAGAUCAAACACCUGAGUCAAGGAAGCACUUAAGACAGAAGCUACUUCCACAGGGGGAUUGUGAGUCAUUUAUAUGGGGACCCUAGGAGUUUCAAGAAGAUACUUAUUAGGAAGAUAAAUGGUAUAUGAGAAGCUGUUCUCUGGCUGGCAAGUGGCCAGGAAAGAAGGAUAUGAAUGAGAUUCACAUAAAAAAAUGGGUAAUAAAGCAGUCACAGACAUAAGCAGUGCAGAAAAGCACUCCUGAGACAAAGAAAACAAGAUGGAAAUCCUCCAAAACAG